rnacentral:lncRNA from 1 species
GGCGUACCGGGUUGCCCAGCGGGUCCUGGGCGGGGUGGGGGGGAAUGGGGGGGGUGCGGGGAGAGCUAGCUUCUCUUCUGGCGCCGUCCUCCUUCCUUCUUCCGAAUCACCCGCCACGGCUUCUUUCCCAGCCUGCUUUCCGGACCCUGCCUGCAAGACUGUGUCUGGCGCCUGUGCCUCCAAGGGGCGUUCUCAGGUAGCUCUGGGGCCUGUGGUCAUCUUGUGACAUUGGGCAGUACCACCGGGAGAAAGCACCUGCCUCUCUAUUCAGAGACCACUGCGUGCAAAGCUGAAUGCAAACAACAAAGGCUUCCACUCUGGCGGCGGCUGCGUGAUUUUCUUGGAACUUGCCAUUAUGUUUCAGGUCAGAGAUUGAGGUUCCGCGCAGCACACGGACCUUUUAAUAUCAGAAAACAGUGAACCUUGCCCAGUGGUGCUGAAGAUUAUAGACUACAAUUCACACUGUGCUGCUGUGUUGUUCCAGACCAGAUGGCCCUGUCACCCCCACACAACAGGGGGAGGCCCAUUCCUGCAAAGUGCACCCCACACCACUUUAACACCUGUUCCUGAAACAAACCCUGCUGGCCUUGAACUAAAGUUCCAUCUCCCGGAGAGCCUUUGUGAAAAGCACAGGGCAGCUGGUGAGGAUGUCACUCAUCCAAGCAGGCUUCCCAGUGACCUUGCCCACCGAGCAGGGGUCCAUGUGAACUUGGUAAGGGCUCGGUCGCCUGCACAGUGGUGUAGCCUUCCACAAACUCCCUAGCCGAUGGCAGGCCUCCCUUACCAGAUCUCUGCCCCAAACUACAUCACUUCCCUUGUUGCAGGAGGUAAGGAAUUUAAACAGGACCC